AUUGAACGCUGGCGGUAUGCCUUACACAUGCAAGUCGAACGGUAGAGGGGCAACCCUUGAGAGUGGCGAACGGGUGAGUAAUACAUCGGAACGUGCCCAGUCGUGGGGGAUAACGUAGCGAAAGCUACGCUAAUACCGCAUACGACCCGAGGGUGAAAGCGGGGGACUCGCAAGGGCCUCGCGCGAUUGGAGCGGCCGAUGGCAGAUUAGGUAGGUGGUGGGGUAAAGGCCCACCAAGCCUGCGAUCUGUAGCUGGUCUGAGAGGACGACCAGCCACACUGGGACUGAGACACGGCCCAGACUCCUACGGGAGGCAGCAGUGGGGAAUUUUGGACAAUGGGCGAAAGCCUGAUCCAGCCAUACCGCGUGCGGGAAGAAGGCCUUCGGGUUGUAAACCGCUUUUGUCAGGGAAGAAAUCUUCUGGGUUAAUACCUCGGGAGGAUGACGGUACCUGAAGAAUAAGCACCGGCUAACUACGUGCCAGCCGCCGCCGUAA
rnacentral:rRNA from 1 species